rnacentral:rRNA from 1 species
AAUCAACGCUGGCGGCGUGCCUCAGACAUGCAAGUCGAACGAUAAAGCGGGGGCAACCCCGUGAGUAAAGUGGCGACCGGGUGAGUAACACGUGACUAACCUGCCCUUGAACGUGGGAUAACCUUCCGAAAGGAGGGCUGAAACCGCAUGAACUCGCGGGGUGAGAUCCCUUGUGAGCAAAGGAGCAAUCCAUUCGAGGAGGGGGUCGCGGCUGAUUAGCUAGUUGGCGGGGUAACGGCCCACCAAGGCGAUGAUCAGUAUCCGGCCUGAGAGGGCGCACGGACACACUGGAACUGAAACACGGUCCAGACUCCUACGGGAGGCAGCAGUGGGGAAUUUUGCGCAAUGGGGGAAACCCUGACGCAGCAACGCCGCGUGAAGGAUGAAGUCCCUUGGGAUGUAAACUUCUUUCGACCGGGACGAUGAUGACGGUACCGGAUGAAGAAGCACCGGCUAACUCUGUGCCAGCCGCCGCAGUAAAAC